GCUACGGGAGGCAGCAGUGAGGAAUAUUGGUCAAUGGGCUUACGCCUGAACCAGCCAAGUCGCGUGAGGGAAGACUGCCCUAUGGGUUGUAAACCUCUUUUGUCAGGGAGCAACGCCGGCUACGUGUAGCCGGACUGAGAGUACCUGAAGAAAAAGCAUCGGCUAACUCCGUGCCAGCAGCCGCGGUAAUACGGAGAAUGCGAGCGUUAUCCGAAUUUAUUGGGUUUAAAGGGUGCGUAGGCGGAAUGCCAAAUCAGCGGUAAGAUCGCGGGGCUAAAACUCGCGCAGCCAUUGAAACUGGCGGUCUUGAGUGGGCGAGAAGUAGGCGGAAUGCGUGGUGUAGCGGUGAAAUGCAUAGAUAUCACGCAGAACUCCGAUUGCGAAGGCAGCAUACCGGCGCCCAACUGACGCUGAAGCACGAAAGCGUGGGUAUCGAACAGGAUUAGAUACCCUAGUAGUC
rnacentral:rRNA from 1 species